rnacentral:rRNA from 1 species
UACGUAGGGGGCAAGCGUUGUCCGGAUUUAUUGGGCGUAAAGAGCGUGUAGGCGGCUAGGUAGGUCCGUUGUGAAAACUCGAGGCUCAACCUCGAGACGCCGAUGGAAACCAUCUAGCUAGAGUCCGGAAGAGGAGAGUGGAAUUCCUGGUGUAGCGGUGAAAUGCGCAGAUAUCAGGAGGAACACCUGUGGCGAAGGCGGCUUUCUGGGCCUUACCUGACGCUGAGACGCGAAAGCGUGGGGAGCGAACCGG